rnacentral:rRNA from 1 species
UACGUAGGGUGCGAGCGUUAAUCGGAAUUACUGGGCGUAAAGCGUGCGCAGGCGGUUCGUUAUGUCCGUUGUGAAAGCCCCGGGCUCAACCUGGGAACUGCAUCCGAAACUGCCUUGCUCGAGUAUGGGAGAGGGAAGUGGAAUUUCCGGUGUAGCGGUGAAAUGCGCAGAUAUCGGGAGGAACACCAGUAGCGAAGGCGGACUCGCUGGGCCAUUCCUGACGCUGAGACGCGAAAGCUAGGGGAAGCGAA